rnacentral:rRNA from 1 species
AUUGAACGCUGGCGGCAGGCCUAACACAUGCAAGUCGAGCGGAUGAGUGGAGCUUGCUCCAUGAUUCAGCGGCGGACGGGUGAGUAAUGCCUAGGAAUCUGCCUGGUAGUGGGGGACAACGUUUCGAAAGGAACGCUAAUACCGCAUACGUCCUACGGGAGAAAGUGGGGGAUCUUCGGACCUCACGCUAUCAGAUGAGCCUAGGUCGGAUUAGCUAGUUGGUGAGGUAAAGGCUCACCAAGGCGACGAUCCGUAACUGGUCUGAGAGGAUGAUCAGUCACACUGGAACUGAGACACGGUCCAGACUCCUACGGGAGGCAGCAGUGGGGAAUAUUGGACAAUGGGCGAAAGCCUGAUCCAGCCAUGCCGCGUGUGUGAAGAAGGUCUUCGGAUUGUAAAGCACUUUAAGUUGGGAGGAAGGGCAGUAAGUUAAUACCUAGCUGUUUUGACGUUACCAACAGAAUAAGCACUGGCUAACUUCGUGCCAGCCGCCGCAGUAACAC